CUUUGUUGUGCGAGGGGGAGAACAGACACUGAUUUAAUAGACAUAUCUGUUGGGGGGAAGGGUAGAGGGGGUGUGGAGAAGCUCAGUUUGGAAGAAUUACAGCACUUGGUAGCUCAGUGUCUUUGUGUUUGAGCUUUCUGGCUUGACAGGAGGGUAUGCCCUUUACAAUGUCCCACAAGGGAUAUUUUCUAUAAUAGAUUAAAAAACAGAACUGAAACUUUAAACAAGUGAAAAAUAAGGUAACCUUUAGUUAGAGAAUAUAAACCUUUCCAUUUCUGCGGUGUUUCAUUAUGAAAAUGUAUGUGAAUUUUGUUAAGGGUUUAGACCGUACUAUCAAAAUUAAUAUAGGCAACAAUGCUUUACAGUAUCUGAUAUCACUUGGUUGUCCACAGGUUAAAAGUAUAUUUUAAAACAUAUACUUGUGUAAAUAAUAAAAGUAUGAAUGCGUUUUUUGGUGUAAUUUGUCUUGUGGAUAUAUUUGAAAAUUUCCCUCCUGCCAAUCCCAGCCCAGCUCUGCCGUCCAGGAAUCAGCCUUUUGGUUAUUAGUUAUCAUGCCGUCCAGGAAUCAGCCUUUUGGUUAUUAGUUAUCAUUUACUCUGCUCUGUCUCUGCUUGUUUUAUUCUUUGAAACCUAUCUUAGGUUUGCUAAAAUGUUACAUCAGCUUUAGCACUUAUUGAAUUAUGUGUUAUUUGUAACUAUCAUAUGAGACCUUAUAAGGCAUGUAGAGGUUUUGAGAAUCAUGAAAUUAAUGAGUUUUCAGAAUUGUAAGUUAAUACAAAAUUCUGAAAUUAUUUCGAAGAAUUUUUAGUUCUUGUAUUUGUUUCACUUUUUUAAUGAUUGGUCUUUUUUUUCAGGAGGGCUUUUUAGUUUUUAAAAGAUUUUGAAAUUGAAAACUAUAACCCUAUAGAUUUCUUAAAUUACUGUUGCUUUAGUUUAGAUGGUUGUUUAUCUUAUUCUGAUUCUUUUUGCUUUGAAUCCUUGCCUUUUGCCUCAGGCCCCCUUUUUAUCAGUCAUUGCUUAGUGUUAGUGGCGAGUUACUGCUGCUUGACAAGACAUUUUUGUUUUUUGAUUUUGGGUUUUUUUUUUUUAACUAAUAAAAUCCUUCUGUAAGUAUCUGAAUUGAAUAUCAAAUUUUAGAUUCUUUUUUUGAGGGAGAAUUUUAAUCUAGUAAUCAGUUUUCUUUAAAAGCAUUCUGUUAACUCCAAAUACCCACUUUCGAGGUAGUAAAGUUCAGAUUAUUUAGAGUCCAGAGUGCAGAUCAGUAUUUUAGUCUGAGCAGUAAUAUAUAGUUGAUAGUCUCCCAACUAAAAUCAGUUGCGUCUCAUAUUUUCUCUUCUAUUGUAUGUAAUUUUGUUCUUUAGGAAAAGAGUUCUAAGUAAGUCAAAUAUAGUGUUAACUUUCUAUAUAUAGAGCGGUGGCAAUGGUUCUUAUUUAAGUAUAAUCCAAAAGGCAACUCUGUUUGUCACUAGCAAAUGUAAUAAUUCCUCUUUUAUUUUAAUGGAUUGGUUCUGAACAGUUAACCUUCUAUUUGAUUCUCUUUACUGAUUAUCUUAAUACUUUAGGGUCAUUUGGUUCCGAAGUAAUACUUAAUUUAUAGCAGUCUUUGGAUUGAAAGUGAAUUCUCACUCAUUUCCAAAAUCUAAUACUCCAUUCUACUUUAUUUUUUGGAGGGGGUUGAGGGUCAGGACUGUAGAGGUGGAAGUGAAGGUGUUUGUGUUUCCAUUAUUAGGUUUUAGUCGAAUUGGAGUUAGCAGGUUCAGGCAGUGAUUAUGAUCAAGAUGGAUAUUUGGUAACCAGGUGAUUAUUGAGUCCUCUGGGACUAGAAUGAUAUUCCAUUCUGGGAAGAUGGAGGUUCUCUCUGUUGCCUAAUAUGAUGUAACCUAUUGCUUGGCUGCUCCUCAUCUUUGCUAUAUUCUCGAAAAGCCCUUCACAACAUAGGGGAAGUUGUGAUUAUUUCAGCUUAGCUCUAACUUGGUGGAAAAAGGAUAGCAGGAUGAGUCUCUGACUUAACAGAGAGUUAUUUCAAAUUGCCCUAAUUCCCUCAAAUAUGCUUAUAGCUGGAGCAGUUCUAGGAAGCAUCUGAAUAAUGCCAUUUUUUUUAGCCUUAUGGGGUUACACAGGAUGGCCUGGAAUUCCUUCCAGAGUGAGAAUUAGGUAUUCAAUGUCUGUGGGGACUUGCCACUUCUGAGUACUUGCCUAAUCACUUAGCUACUUGUACUAGUGCUGUUUUUAGGAUCGAAAGGCAGUUAGGUAAGUACAUAAUUACUUUAUUUAAAUAUUUAUUAAGCAUCUGUCUUGUAUUAGUCACUGUGGGCAAACAAAGAUAUUGGGGAAGCUGCCUUAACAUUCAAGAACUUUCAUUAGUCCUUAGAAAAAAUAUAGUGUAUUCAGUAGAAGGCAAAAUGUGCCAUACGAUAGUGAAAGCAAGUGCUGGGGGGUGUUUGGAAGUGAAAUAAAUCACUUGAGAUGAUAAAGAAAGGCUGCAUGAAGAAGGUGGUGGAUUUUUGCUUCAUUCUGAUGAAAAUGGAGAAGGCAUUCCUGUCACGUGAAACAAAUAAGCAAAAGUACAAAAGGACAAGAGUGAGUUGUCUGUUUAAACUGCAGUCCAAGAUUGGUGUAGGAAAUGUAUAGGUGAUAAGUUUGCAGAGAUAGAUUGUUGGAUUUUCUAAUGCAGGUUAAAAAGUGGAGUCUCUUUGUUAGGCACUUGGGGUUUGCAACACACCUGUCUCCUUAGCUCAGGAGAAGAAUGUUUCCUUUAUUUAAGGAUUCCAUUGUAAAAUUCUACAAUAAUGAUGUUGGUUGUUUUUUUAAAUCACCUUGGCAGAGACAAUAUUGUUAUCCACAGCAGUGUCUCUUCUAAGUAAGCUCAUUUGGAGGUUGUACCUUAUUCCAUUGCACAAAACUCAUUUUCGAAGUUGCCUAAAAUCAGUGGCAUAUUCAUUCAUUGAGUGCCCUUAGUUUUGAGAAAUUUUCAUCCUUUAGAGGUUGGAUUUGGUAUUUGGAAACAGAAAAGAAUAUUUUCUGCCACAAUAAAGGUAUAUAUAAAAUAAUGAGAUUGGUUUUUUUUCCUGCCUUGCAAACUGGCUCUGAAAGCUCAGCAGAGGGGCUUGAUUUGUUUUGAUGUGCCUCUGAACUUCUCUCUUGAUUCGUAUUUCCUUUACGUCCACCUGUCUGCUGAAUGGAAUCUGGAUAUUGGGUAGAUGUGAGUAAACAAAGCUGUUAUUUUUUGUAGUUUCAAGUUAAAGACUUGCCAUUACUACCCUCCAAAUUAUCUUUACUCUAUUUGCAAAUAUUUUAAAAAAUCUUUUUACUGUUAGUUAUACUUGCACAUUGUUUUUGGGAUAAUCCCAGUGUGAAAUAUUUGCUAAUUUUAUUGACUGUCUCUUGUAUGUAGAAAGUAUCCCAAGUCCAGUGGUCCAUACCCUGAAUUUUUUCUUUUUUUAAUUGAGAUAUCAUGUAUAUACCAUAAAAUUCACCCUUUUAAUUCAUACAAUUCAGUUGUUUUUAGUUUAUUCACAAGGUUGUGCAAAUAUCACUAAUUCUCGAACACUUUCAUAUCCAAAAAAGAAACCCUAUACUCAUUAGAAGUCAUUUUGCAUUUCUCCCAUGACCCAGUCCUUGGUAACCCCUAAUCUACCUCUGUUUCUGUGGAUUUGCCUGUUCUGGACAGUUCAUAUAAAUGUAAUAUUAUAAUAUGUGGCCUUUUGUGUCUGGCUUCUUAGCAUGUUUUCAGAAUUCAUCCAUGUACUGGCAUAUAUCAGCACUUUAUUGCUUUUUUUGGCUAACUAAUAUUGCAUUGUAUGGACAUACUAUAUUUUGUACAUCCAUUCAUCAGGUGUCAGACGUUUGAGUUGUUUCCACUUUUUGCCUAUUAUGGAGAAGCUGCUGUGAACUUAAGCAGCAUUAUUCCUGUGGACGUUUAUCUUUUCUUCUUUUGGGUACGUACUUCAGAGUGAACUUGCUGGGUCAUAUAGUAACUUUUAAUGUUGAGGAACUGCCAAACUGUUUUCUAAAGCGGCUGUAGUAUUUUACAUUCCCACCAGCGGUGUAGGAGGAUUUCAGUUUCUCCACACCCUUGCCAACACUUGUUACUGUCUGUCUUUUUGGUUAUAACCAUUCUAGUGGGUAGGUAUGAACUGGUAUCUCAUUGUUGUUUUGAUUUGCAUUUCCCUAAUGACCAUUGAUGUUGAGCAUCUUUUCAUUUGCUUGUUGGCCACUUGUAUAUUUUCUUUGGAGAAACGUCUCUUCAGAUCCCUAGCCUAUUUUUUAAGUUGAGUUGUCUUUUUAUUGUUGAGUUGUAGUGUAUAUUCUGGAUACUAGACCCACAUCAGUAUAUGAUUUGCAAAAGUUUUUUUCUUAUCGUACCCUCAAUUUGAGAGUAGUUAGAUCAGAAGAUAAUCUGCAGCAUUAUUCCUGUGAAGGGAAUAAUGGAUGUUGUAAUGGAGUGAUCAGAAUGAACCAGAAUUACUCAGGAAAGGCUUCCUUAAACAUCCUUUUCCAUGAAUUAUUAAAAUUGUUAUUUGAUGGAGUUUUGUAAUAACACAGAUAUACUUUACUAUCCAAAUCUUCUAAGUUUUUGCCUUUUUUUUUUUUUUAGUGAGGGUUCAUAUUUCAAGUUCAAAUAAUAUGGUAAACCAUGUUAUUUGAAUCUUUUCUACACCUGAGUUUUGGAUAGUAUAUAACCAAGGUUUGGGUGGAGAAGGAUAUCUUUUCUCUGUAUAGACAUUUUGUCUGAAUCUAUUCUGUGUCUAGUGUUCAUGGUGUUACCAUCUUAUAUCUGCACAGCACAUUUUAUAUUUUUUUAGAAAACUUUCACAUUAUUUUAUCGUCUUUAUUUAGAAAUGUAGAAAAUUAAAAAUGGGUAUUAAAAAACUAUUGGUCAGUUGGGAAACAUUGAGUAAUAACUCUUGUUAAAGUAAUAAGGGGAUUUCCUUUAGCAUAAAUGCUUCCCUCUUAUCCACAGAAAUAAUUUUAUGAUAGUUUAAUGUUUGAAAUAGUUAACCUAACUUCUCAGGUAAAAGUAGAAUACAGAGCUGAACUUCUCCAGAAAGACUUUUUAAUUUAAUUUGCUUCAAUUGCUGUAUGAAAUUACAUAGUAGUUUUCUACCUCUAUUAAUGAUGGUACACAUCAAGACUAACUUUUUGGGUUAGAAGCUGUGAAUACCAGUAUUAUUUCCCAUGAGAAUUAUUAUUAUUGGAAAAACUGUUGUAGGAUGAACAUUUUCAUUUUCGUUGUUAAUAAUAGUCUGUGACUGUUAUUUGGUCUCAUGAUUAGCUUAUUUUUCAUAAGCUCUGAGUCAUUUUAUUAUCAUCAUUAUUAAUACCUGAUUAUUGUAUAUUUUUUUUCUUAUUAGUUGACUUUUUAGAGAUUUCCAGAGGGUAAAGGCAUGUUCUCCCUCUCCUAAGCUGCCAAUAUAAAGGGGAAGAAAAACUAAUUUAAAAGGAUCUACAGGGCUUCCCUGGUGGUGCAGUGGUUGAGAGUCCGCCUGCCGAUGCAGGGGACACGGGUUCGUGCCCCAGUCUGGGAAGAUCCCACAUGCUGCGGAGCGGCUGGGCCCGUGAGCCAUGGCCACUGAGCCUGCGCGUCCAGACCCUGUGCUCCGCAACGGGAGAGGCCACAACAGUGAGGCCCGCGUACUGCCAAAAAAAAAAUGGAUCUACAGGUUGUGUGUUGCUUGGUAAAAGAAAAUCCCACAUCUGCAAAUGUGAAUGUACUACAAAAAAUGUAUUUUAUGUUACAACAGAAUUCAUCUCUGAUUUAAUAUAAGAAACAUGCUCCACUAGUACAUGUAGAAUUAUUAUUGGUUUAUACAAAUUUCAAAAAUAAGUGUACCAUGUGUGUAGAGGAAGGAAUUGUUGAAUUUGUUAAAUUGAGGCAUGCUUAUGUUCAGUUUGAUCUCUUGUUUUUCACGUAUUUUUUAUUGUCCCCAAUGCAUGGGUAUUUUUCUUUUUAAUUAAUUUAUUUUUGGCUGCAUUGGGUCUUCAUUGCGGUGCACGGGCUUCUCAUUGCAGUGGCUUAUUGCAGAGCACGGCCUCUAGACGCAUGGGCUUCAGUAGUUGUGGCACACGGGCUCAGUAGUUGUGGCUUGUGGGCUUUAGAGCGCAGGCUUAGUAGCUGUGGUGCAUGGGCUUACUUACUCUGCAGCAUGUGAGAUCUUCCCGGACCUGGGAUCAAACCCAGGUCCCUUGCAUUAGCAGGCGGAUUUUCUUUUUUUUUUUUAACUUCUUUAUUGGGGUAUAAUUGCUUUACAAUGGUGUGUUAGUUUCUACUUUAUAACAAAGUGAAUCAGUUAUACAUAUGUUCCCAUAUCUCUUCCCUCUUGCAUCUCCCUCCCUCCCACCCUCCCUAUCCCACCCCUCCAGGUGGUCACAAAGCACUGAGCUGAUCUCCCUGUGCUAUGCUGCUGCUUCCCACUAGCUAUCUGUUUUACGUUUGGUAGUGUAUAUAUGUCCAUGCCUCUCUCUCGCUUUGUCACAGCUCACCCUUCCCCCUCCCCGUAUCCUCAAGUCCGUUCUCUAGUAAGUCUGUGUCUUUAUUCCUGUCUUACCUCUAGGUUCUUCAUGACAUUUUUUUUUCUUAAAUUCCAUAUAUGUGUGUUAGCAUACGGUAUUUGUCUUUCUCCUUCUGACUUACUUCACUCUGUAUGACAGACUCUAGGUCUAUCCACCUCAUUACAAAUAGCUCAAUUUCGUUUCUUUUUAUGGCUGAGUAAUAUUCCAUUGUAUAUAUGUGCCACAUCUUCUUUAUCCAUUCAUCCAAUGAUGGACACUUAGGUUGUUUCCAUCUCCAGGCUAUUGUAAAUAGAGCUGCAGUGAACAUUUUGGUACAUGACCCUUUUUGAAUUAUGGUUUUCUCAGGGUAUAUGCCCAGUAGUGGGAUUGCUGGGUCAUAUGGUAGUUCUAUUUGUAGUUUUUUAAGGAACCUCCAUACUGUUCUCCAUAGUGGCUGUACCAAUUCACAUUCCCACCAGCAGUGCAAGAGUGUUCCCUUUUCUCCACACCCUCUCCAGCAUUUACUGUUUCUAGAUUUUUUGAUGAUGGCCAUUCUGACUGGUGUGAGAUGAUAUCUCAUUGUAGUUUUGAUUUGCAUUUCUCUAAUGAUUAAUGAUGUUGAGCCUUCUUUCAUGUGUUUGUUGGCAGUCUGUAUAUCUUCUUUGGAGAAAUGUCUAUUUAGGUCUUCUGGCAGGCAGAUUCUUAACCACUGCACCACCAGGGAAGUCCGAAUGCAUUGGUAUUUAUGGGCUUUUACCUGAAUGCUCCCCUUCCUCUCAGUCAAUGUAGGCAUAUUUUCUAAGUCAUUUGUAGGUAUUUUCCUCUAUACCUAUCCACAGGAUAUUCUCCUGUUCUGUUUUACCUAUCUUUCCAUCUUUUAGGUGCAUGAUUUAUCAAAAGUAGAAGGGAUGCUAGAACUUGUCUUUUUGUCCAACCAUAUUAAAGGGAAAAAGAAUUUUUAAAAAAAUCUUUCAUUUUUGAAAACUUCAAACAUACACAAAAGUAGAAAGAAUAGUAUAGUGAACAUCCAGCUACAUCAACGAAUGGCUGUUAUUCAUUCCCACAAGAUUAUUUUGAAGCAAAUCCCAGACAUAAUAUUUAGUAUUGAAUCUUUUUGCAACCUGCUUGUAUAAUAUCAUCUCCUUCUUCCCACCUCCCAUCCCCAUCAAGUGGUUCAUAAAUUUAAAGAAAUGAGAUAUUAUCUAAAUAUGGAGAAGACUGGUGGUGGUUUUGUCUUAUUAAUGUUUCUUAAGAGCUAUCAUAUGUUGGGUAUUUACUAUGUGCCAGACAAGAGCCCUUUGAUGUUAAUAUCUGUUUUACAGGUGGAAAAACGGAAUUUGGAAAGGUUAAGGGUUUCAUUUAUGAUCACUCAGCUAAAGAGUGGUAGACCUGGGAUGGGAAUUCAAAAGCCUGUGCUAUAAAAAAUUAAAGCAUACGCCCUUUUUUUAGACUUUCUUAUUUGGUUCCACCAAGUUGCCUUUUCUUUCUUUGUUCCCUACUACUGAUGGCUUACUCAAUUUCUAUUACAGUAAAGAAUUCUACUCAUAAUAUUAUCAUAAAUGGUAGCAUAAUUCUUUCAAUACCCCGGCCUAAAAUGUCUUGCCCUCUUCUCUUCAGUGCUACGGUCUAGUUUGUCUAUCCUUUUUCUUCUCAAAUUUUUAGUUUUGUCAGAGCUAAGUAGGUUUGAGCUGACUGCUUCCACUGGCUUAAGUUUUCCUUCAUACAUUGCUAGACUGGCCUUUCUUCACCAUUGGCUGAGAUCUGAGCAUAGAUUUUGAAGAGGAAAGAUAGCAAAGGAUAUCCAGGUGAUCCUGGGCCUUAAGCUUGGUGAGCCUUCCACGUGGACCAGCUUAGUUGACAGAGCACUUUGAAAUUUGUAACAAAAGCAUUGUAGUAACAGUGUGUUGUUACCUGGCCUUUCCUUCUAUUCAUAUCCUUCCCAGAGAUCUCAGGUGUGGACAGAGGGGCAAACAGGGUAAAGCAGAUUGAUGUCAAGAUUCAGGAUUCCUGGAUUUUAGUCAAAUGCUUUUUGAGUUCUAACUUCCUAUGACUUAGAUUUGGCUCUUGGUUAUAAAUGUUUCAAAACAUGUGAUGGAAAGCGAAGUUGCUGAGUAGUGUAUAAUUGCUGAGAAGGGGAGGGAGCAAUUUGGCAGAUUUUUUAAAAGAUACGCUAGUUUGGUAAUUCAAGAAUCACCCGUCUCAGACUAAUGCUACCUUAGUAGAUACAGGAAGAUGUGACAAAGGUAAGUGGGAGAAAUUCCCAUCAAAAUAAAAUGGGAAGCUCUUUGCCUUCACUAAGAAUAAAAAGUGAGAGGAACAUAAAUAUCUGUGAAUAUGUGCCUGUGUUGAAAUGUGGCUUUUUCAUUGCAUGGUUAAUGAUAUAAACACUAAUCUUGUCAUAUGUGUUAGGUUAUGUGAAUUUUCAUUCAGCUAGUAAGGAAACUGAUGAAGUUUAUCUUGUAUAAAUGGGCAUUGAUUUAAUUUAUUUGAUCACAAUAAAAUGAUACUUUAAUUAUUUUAAAAAAAGAAGUCCAUAAAUCUUUGGGAAUAGUUAUUGAAAAAAACCUUUAAGCUGGUCAUUUUUCUGAGUGUUUAAUGUAAUUAACACAUCUUUAAAAAAUGAUUUAGUUAAUAUACUCCUACAUAAAACGAUCAGUGUGUUAAUAUUUUACUUAUUGUUUAUCUAUUGGAAACCUAACAAUUAUGCUUAGCAGUAUUUUUAUAAUACUUAAUAUGUUAGAUACCCUAUCUAGAGCUGGUUUUUGUUCUGGAAAGAGAAUACAUCAGGAUAAAAAUAAUGAAAUAAUAUGGAUUAAUUUCUAACAAUUUUUUGAGAGGUACUGAAGUUUUGCUGUAUGACUUUUUCAAAAGAAAAGCAGGUAUGAUUAAAGUGAUAAGGCUGUGUACCAUGUGAGACUUGUACAACCAAUAUUUAUUUGUAUAUACAUAUAUUUUCUAUGCAUAGAUUUUUACUGUGGAGUAUUUACUAAAAUAGAUUUUGGCGUGUUAAAAUAAACAGGCAUGUACAGAGAGUCAAAUCCAUAUAGUCUCUUGAUAACCAUUUCAAGACCCAUGGCUUGUGGCUGCAAUCUUAUCUAAAAGAUAACAUUCCCUUUGUCCCCUUUCUCCUUAGGCAAAGAACUUCCGUUUAAUUUUCAUGUAACAUAUCCAAAUCAAAGAUUGUUUUAUUUUAUUGGUGAUAGGCAAAGGUAAAUUCAUAAAUGGGGUAAAGAUAAAGAAGAGAAACUAGAAUUUUCCACAGUAAGUGAGAAGACUUUAGGUAGGAAUUAUAAGAAGCUGUAAACCUAUGUGGGACUUAAUUUUUGUAAAAAAUAAGUAGGCCACAUAAGUGAUAGUCCAACCUGAAUGAGUUGUUUUGGUCAAGACUGUUAAACUAUUAAGAAGAUUGAAUUAUCCACAGAUUUUGAUCUUUUAAAACCAAGGGAAUGUAAAUUAAUGGAGAAGAGUAUUCUGAUAUAAUUACAUUGAUAAAAAAUGAGCUGACAUUGUGGUAAAGACAAGGAACCAGAGGUGUUGAUAACCCAGACAAUUUUUGCCUUUUUUUUCCCUUUUCCUGAGAACUUAAACUUUAUUUUGGAAAAAGUGGAAGGUUUGUUAUUGUUAAAUGAUUAAUAAAUAUUUUUGUAUUUAUGUUACUACUUGAUAGGAAUUAUUUGUUAAAACUAUACGAAGAUGUCUAGGUAAAAUACCUUUAGAUAUUGCUCUACCUAAGUCAGCCAGUCCACAUUUUGUCAGAUAUUCUUUAGCAAGUAAUCCAGAGGAGAUCAACUGAUUUGAGGAAUAUGAGUGUAUAUCCAGUUAUAAGCAGAAAAGAAGGUAAAGAAUAAAGGCUAUAUUAAGAAACAGGAGGGAUCUGUUGUCAAGUCAUGCUGCUGCUAAUGUCUGGUUUCUGUUACUUAAGAACAGAAGUGUAAGUAAUGAUGGUAAUGAUGUUGUUACAUAUAACUGGAUUGUGAAAUAAGCAGCACACUUUAUUUUUUUUAAUUUUUUUAAAAGAAAUUUCUUUUUGGCUGUGCUGGGUCUUCAUUGCUGCGAGCGGGCUUUCUCAAGUUGCAGCGAGCGGAGGCUACUCUUUGUUGCGGUGUGCAGGCUUCUCAUUGCGGUGGCUUCUCGUUGCAGAGCACAGGCUCUAGGCGUGCGGGCUCAGCAGUUGUGGCACACGGGCCCUAGAGCGCGUGCGCUUUAGUAGUUGUGGCGUGCAGGCUCAGUAGUUGUGGCUCAUGGGCUCUAGAGCGCAGGCUCAGUAGUUGUGGCACACAGAUUUAGUUGCUCCGCGACAUGUGGGAUUUUCACAGACAAGAGAUGGAACCUGUGUCCCCUGCAUUGGCAGGCGGAUUCUUAACCACUGCGCCACCAGGGAAGUCCAGCAGCACACUUUAAAACUUGACGCUGAAAGGAUACUUACUUUCAGAUGGCAGAAUUUUCAGGAACUUCAGAUGUUUGGUACAGUAAGGAUUUGGUACAGUCUAGGAUUCUGCCAAGAAUCAGGAAUGAGUCACUUGCUUUUGCAUGAGGUUGCUUCUCAUUCAUAUUUCUUCCCUACUCUGUAUAUCUCCAUUUUUCUUUACACAUUUUUCUUUUUCUCUCUUUUUGUACAUGUAACAUAAAUUGAUAUAUGUUUGGAAUACAUCAAAUGAAAAGUAAACUGAAUUAAUUUUAAAAAUAAAUAUGUAUGUGUUUUAGUCUGGGGUAACAGACAGCUUCAGAAGCCCAUGCAGAUAAGAAUGACUUUAGAAGUAGAAAAAUGGUGGUCAUAGUUAAGAGAAUGAAAUUCACUAGACAGAGAUAAGGGUUGAAAUACAUUCAGUAAACUUUUUUUAGUGAAUAUUUUUAGCUGUAUUUGUAUCACUGUUAAUUAAGUUCAUAAAACAGUUUUAUUUUGAUAUAAUGCAAAUAGUUUUGUCUCUUCAUUGGCUUUCUCUAUUUAUGAAUUUUAAAAAACUUAAGGGGUACAAUCUUUCUUGAAGUUAAGCAUUAGUUCUUCCAUUUUUUUGAAGAAAUUUUAUUUUUUUAAUUUUUAAUACUGAAUAAAAGAUUUUUUUUUUUUAGUUUUUAUUGGAGUAUAGUUGUUUUACAAUGUUGUGUUAGUUUUUACUGUACAGCAAAGUGAAUCAGCUAUAUGAAUACAUAUAUCCUCUCUUUUUUGGAUUUCCUUCCCAUUAGGUCACCACAGAGCAUUGAGUAGAGUUCCCUGUGCUAUACAGUAGGUUCUCAUUAGUUAUCUAAUUUAUACACAGUAUCAGUGUAUAUAUGUCAAUCCCAAUGAUGGUUUAAAUCUUUAUGAUUCUUUAAAUUCUUUAGUGCUUUACAGUUUUCAAGUUUCACACAUGUGAUUUCAUAUAAUCUCAUAAUAACCCUUUUUUAAAUCCCUUACCCCUGUAUUGCACCUUUGCUCUCCCCACUGGUAAUCACUAGUUUGUUCUCAAACUGUGAGUCUGCUUCUUUUUUGUUUUAUUCACUAGUUGUAUUUUUUAGAUUUCACAUGUAAGUGAUAUCAUGUGGUAUUUGUCUUGCUCUGUCUGACUUAUUUCACUUAGCAUAAUGCCUUCCAAGUCCAUGCAUGUUACAGAAUGGCAGAAUUUCAUUCUUUUUUAUGGCUGAGUAGUGUUCGUUGUAGAUAUAUAACACACCUUUUUUAUCCAUUCAUCUGUUGAUGGACUUUUUAUUUUACGCCACGUCAUAUGAAGAAUAUUUGAACUUAUAGAGAAAACAAUGUUAAAAAAUAAUUUUAGACAUGAAUUUAAGUGCAUUUCAAAUAUUAAUCGUAUCUAGCUAACCCUGUAAAGAUUGUAUCUCGGUAGGAUGGAAGAGAUGAUUAAAUGUACUCUGCAUUCAGAAGUUUAAUUCCUCUCAUUAGUUCUCCAACUGUUUACCACAUUCAGAGGCUCAUUUUGAAAAUACUUGCAUAUAAUAGUAACAGUAGAGGUCCAUUUUGGAAACACUUGCACAUUAAAACAAUAAUAAAAGGUGGCUUUGAGUCAGGCAGACCUGGGUACAAAUUUAUCUUCACACUUUACCCGCUAUGGGAUGUAGAGAGAACUAAUUUCAGUUUAUUCCUAUAAUAAAUACUGUGUAGGACGGUUGUGAGAAUUGAGAAAGAGGCAGAGAACUUUGUCUUUGCUUAAUAAAUAAUAGAUCACUUGAAAAAAAAACUGUUGAAGCUGAUCCAUAGAGUUUGCUCUUUGGAUAUACUCUUAAAAUAACACAAUUUAAUUUCUUUUAAACAUUUUUUGUAAUAUAGAGCAAUAAUUGUUCUCUCUGGAUUUUAAGUUGCACUGUGUUUGGUCUACCCAAAACUUUUACAUAUUUGCAAGUUCCUGUAAUGGUUUGGGUGAUGACAUUUAUGUAUGAUUAACAUUAUGACAUUUAUUGGUAUAUCCUACAGGUUAGAGUAGCAAAAAAUACUCAAUUUUUGUUCUUUGCCAGCUAAGAGAACCUACUACAUGUUUUUUAUUAGGUUAAAAAGAAAUAGUAGGUUUUCUUAGGUUAAAAAGAAAUAGUAGGUUUUCUCUAGGUUAAAAAAUUGUUGCAUCUUGGGCAGUGGAAUGGAAUGGGAAAAACCUCAAGGCAGGAGCACUGGGUUCUGGCAUAAGUAUGACUACAACUGUAUGAUUUUAAGCAAAUACAUCACAUAAUCUCUCUGCAUCUUGGUUUCCUUAUUUGUAAAAUGAGAACGUCUUGGAGAACCUGAUUACAGUAUUUCAAGAAAAAUUACUGUGUUGAUUUUCACCAUUGAAUAGUUUGGGGAUGGUUGACAUGAAAUCCAUUAGGAAAUAGAAUAUUCAUAUUGUGUAUAACAGGACGGCAAAGCUAAACUAAAUAAUGUGCUCAAAGAUGUUUGUCUUAAAAGACACAUGCACCCCAGUGUUCAUUGCAGCACUAUUUACAAUAGCCAGGUCAUGGAAGCAACCUAAAUGCCCAUCGACAGACGAACGGAUAAAGAAGAUGUGUGGUACAUAUACACAAUGGAAUAUUACUCAGCCAUGAAAAGGAACGAAAUGGGGUUAUUUGUAGAGACAUAGAUAGACCUAGAGACUGUCAUACAGCGUGACAUUAAGUCAGAAAGAGAAAAACAAAUAUUGUAUAUUAGCACAUAUAUGUGGAAUCUAGAAAAAUGGUACAGAUGGACCUGUUUGCAAGGCAGAAAUAGAGACACAGAUGUAGAGAACAAACGUAUGGACACCAAGGGGGGAAAGGGGAGGAGGGAUGAAAUGGGAGAUUAGGAUUGACAUACAUACACUAAUAUGUAUAAAAUAGGUAACUAAUGAGAAUCUGCUGUAUGGCAUAGGGAACUCCACUUUGCUGUACAGUAGAAACUAACACAACAUUGUAAAACAACUGUACCCCAAUUACAAAAAAAGAUGUCUUCUAAAAUGUUCAUGGGAAUGAAGACUCUUCAUCUUUAAGUAGAAAGCAGGAUGUGUAAGGAAUGGGCAACAGCUCCUCAAAUUCAUGCAAAAUACAUAACUAACUUUUCUCACUAAGAAUAUUAGCUAAACACUCACAAGGUGAGAGGAACUUAGUCUCAUUUAGCUAAUAAUAGUUAUAUCUGCAUUUCAUAUAAAAAGAUAAAAAUGCAUUUUCUUUUGUUUAUUCAAUUUAUUUUUUUAAAAAAUUCACCCAUUUCUCCCACCCACCACCCCACCCCCUACUCCUGGCAGUCACCAGUCUGUUCUCUGUAUCUGUGAGGUUGGUUGGUUGGUAGGUUGGUUUGUCUGUUUGCUUGUUUGUUUCAGGUCUAACAAAUCAUGUGGUAUUUGUCUUUCUCUGACUUAUUUCAUUUAGCAUAGUGCAAUCAAAGUCAUCCAUGUUUUCACAAAUGGCAAGAUUUUGCUCUUUUUUAUGGCUAAACAAUAUCCCUGUGUGUGUGUGUAUUUGUGUAUACACACACACAAUUUUUUUAUCCAUUCGUACAUCAGUGAACACUUAAGUUCUUUGCAUAUCUUGGGUAUUGUAAAUAAUGCUGCAGUGAAUGGGGGUGCAUACAUCUUUUUUUUUUUUUUGGCCACGCUGCAUGGCUUGCAGGAUCUUAGUUCCCUAACCAGGGAUCAAACCUUGGUCCUUGGCAAUGAGAGCAUGAAGUCCUAACCACUGGACCUCCAGGGAAUUCCCCACAUACAUCUUUUUGAAUUAGCAUUUUUAUUUUCUUUGGAAAAUACCCAGAAGUAGAAUUGCUGGAUCAUACGGUAAUUCUCUUUUUAAUUUUUUGAGGAACCUUCAUACUGUUUUCCACAGUGGCUGCAUCAAUUUUCAUUCUCACCAAUGGUGCAGAAGGGUUCUUUUUUCCUUAACAUCCUUGCCAACAUUUGUUAACUCUUUUUUUAAAAAAAAUUUAUUUAUUUUAUUUAUUUUUCACUGUGUUGGGUCUUCAUUGCUGCACACGGGCUUUCUCUAAUUGCAGCAAGCCGGGGCUACUCUUCGUUGUGGUGCAUGGGCUUCUUAUUGUGGUGGCUUUGUCUUGUUGCAGAGCAUGGCCUCUAGGCACGCAGGCUUCAGUAGUUGCAGCACACGGGCUCAGUAGUUGUGGUGCACGGGCUUAGUUACUCUGCAGCAUGUCGGUUCUUCCCGGACCAGGGCUCGAACCUGUGUCCCCUGCAUUGGCAGGUGGAUUUUCAACCACUGCGCCACCAGGGAAGCCCCGUACACUUGUUUUUUCUUGUCUUUUUGCUAGUAGCCUCUCUAACAGAUGUGAAUUGAUAUCUUAUUGUGAUUUUGAUUUGCAUUUCCCUGAUGCUUAAUGGCAUAGAGCAUCUUUUCAUGUCCUGUGGCCAUCUGUAAUGUCUUGUUUGGAAAAAUGUCUAUUCAGAUCAGCUCACUCUUUAAUCAGAUUGUGGGGUUUUUUGUUGUUGUUUUUUGCUUUUGAGUUGUAUGAGUUCCUUAUAUAUUUUGGAUAUUAUUCCCUUAUCAGAUAUAUGAUUUGCAAAUAUUUUCUCCCAUCCAUUGAUCUUUGUGUCUGUUUUUAUGCCAGUACCGUGCUGUUUUAAUUGCUAUAGCUUUGUAAUAUAAUUAGAAAUCAGGAAAUGUGAUGCUUCCAGCUUUUCUUUCUCAAGAUUGCUUUGGCUCUUUGGGGUCUUUUAUGGUUCCAUACGAAUUUUAGGAUUGUUUGUUUUAUGACUGUGAAAAAUGGUAUUGGAACUUUUAAAGGGAUUGCAUUGAAUCUGUAUAUUGCUAAUUUGUUUUUCUUAGAGUUUAUCAUUAAUGUAUAGAAACAACAGAUUUUUGUGUAUUCAUUUUGUAUCCUGCAACUUAACUGAAUUUGUUUAUUAAAUCUAACAAUCUUUUGAUGGAGUCUUUAGGGUUUUCAAUAUCAUGUCAUCUGCAGGUGGUGACAGUUUUACUUCUUCCUUUCCAGUUUGGAUAUGUUUUAUUUCUUUUUCUUGCCUAAUUGGUCUAACUAGGAUUUCCAAUACUAUGUUGAAUAAAAGUGAUGAGAGUGGGUAUCCUUGUCUUGUUCUUGAUCUUAGAAGCUUUCACUUUUUCACUGUUAAGUGUCAUGUUACCUGUGGGCUUGCCGUAUGGCCUCUGUUAUGUUGAAGUACGUUCCCUUUAUACUUGCUUUAUUGGGUUUUUAUUAUAAACGGAUGUUGAAUUUUGUCAGAUGCUUUUUCUGCAUUUGUUGAGAUGAUCGUAUGAUUUUUAUUUUUCAUUUGGUUAAUGUGGUGUAUCAUGAACCAUCUUUGUAUCUCUGGAAUAAAUCCCACUUGAUUAUGGUGUAUGUAUUUUUAUAGGUUGUUGUCUUUUAAUGUAUUGUUGAAUUCAUACCGACAUUUUGUUGUGGAUUUUUGCAUCUUUGUUCAUCAGGGAUAUUGGCCUGUGUUUCUUUUCUUGUGGCAUUCUUGUCUGGUUUUGGUAUCAGAAUAAUGCUGGUCUUGUAAAAUGAGUUUGGAAGAGUGCUCCUUCUGUUUUUGGGAAGAGUUUGAGAAGGAUUGUUAUUCUUCUUUGAGUGUUUGGUAGAAUUCACUAGUGAAGGUGUCUGGUCCUGAAUUUAUUUAUGUUGGGAGGUGUUUUUUUAAAUUACUGAUUCAGUUUCCUUAUAGUAAUCAGUCUGUGCACAUUUUAUUUUUCAUCAUGAUUUCAGUCUUGGUAGGUUAAUUGUUUCUUGGGAUUUACCCAGUUUUUGUAGGUUGUCCAAUUUAUUGGUGUAUAAUUGUUUAUAGUAGUCUCUUAUGGUCCUCUAUAUUUCUGUGGUAUUGGUUUUAAUAUCUCCCCUUUCAUUUCUGACUUUAAGUCGUCUUUUCUCUUGUUGGGUCUAGCUAGAGGUUUGUCAAUUUUGUUUAUCUUUUCAAAGAUAUAGCUGUUGGUUUCAUUGAUCUUUUCUACGGUCUUUUUUAGCCUGUAUUUCAUUUAUUUCUGCUUACUUCGUUAUUUCCUUUCUUCUGUUACUUUGAGCUUUGUUCUUUUUCUAGUUCCUACCAUGUCAAGUUGGGUGUUAGAGACUUUUUUUUGUUUUUCGAGGUAGGCAUUAAUUGCUAUGAACUUCCCUCUUAGAACUGCUUUCGCAGCUAACUUGUAAUCUUAGUGUUUACUUCUUUGGUUUUUUGACCUUCCUAAUAGCUUUAUAAGUGAUUAAUCCACUACCAUUUCUAUACAUAUUUACCUUUUCAGUGAGAUUUAUUCUUCCAUGUGUUUUCUUGUUACUAAUUAGCACCCUUUUUUUCAGCUUAAAGAAGUCCCUUUGACAUUUCUUGUAGGGCCAGUUUAGUGGUGAUGAAAAAUUUAGCUUUUGCUUGUCUGGAAAAUUCUUCAUCUCUCCUUCACUCUGAACGAUAACUUUUCUGGGUAGAGUAUAAUUAGUCGGAAGUUUUUCUUUUAGUGCUUUGACUGUACGGUUCCACUUCCUUCUGGCUUGCAAAGUUUCUGCUGAAAAAUCUGCUUAUAGGCUUAUGGGGCUUUCCUCAUAUGUAACAAGUUGUUUUUCUCUUGCUGUUUUUAAUAUUCUCUCUUUUGGCAUUUUAAUUAUAAUGUAUCUUGGUGGACUCCUCUACUUGGCAACUCUCUGGCCUUUCUGGGUCUGGAUGUCUGUUUCCUUCCUGGGUUAGGGACGUUUUCAGCCAGUAUUUCUUCAAAUAAGAUUUCUGCCCCUCUCUUCUUUUUCUGGGAGCCAUAUGAUGUGAAUAUUCGUCCAUUUGAUGCUGUCCCAUAAAUUCUUUAAGCUAUUUUCACUUUUUUUCAUUCCUUUUCCUUUUUGCUGUUCUGAUGGGGUGAGUUCCACUGCCUUGUCUUUGAGUUGACUGAUCUUUUAUUCUGCUUCAUUCAGUCUGCUGUUGAACUCUUCUAGUCUAUUUUUCAGUUCAGUUAUUGUGUUUUUUAAGUUUGUGACUUCUGUUUGGUACUUUCUUACUUUUUCCAUCUUUUUUUUUUUUUUUGCGGUACGCGGGCCUCUCACUGUUGUGGCCUCUCCCGUUGCGGAGCACAGGCUCCGGAUGCGCAGGCUCAGUGGCCAUGGCCCAUGGGCCCAGCCGCUCCGCAGGAUGUGGGAUCUUCUGGGACCGGGGCAUGAACCCGCGUCCCCUGCAUCGGCAGGCAGACUCUUAACCACUGCACCACCAGGGAAGCCCUUCCAUCUUUUUAUUGAAGUUCUCAGUGUUCAUCCAUUCUUCUCCCCAGUUCAGCAAGCAUCUUUAUGACCAUUACUUUUUAACAUUUUAUCAGGUAGAUUACUUAUCUCUGUUUCAUUAAAGUUUUUUUCUGAGGUUGGGACUUCCCUGGUGGCUCAGUGGUUAGGAAUCUGCCUGCCAAUGCGGGGACGUGGGUUCGAGCCCUAGUCCGGGAGGAUCCCACAUGCUGCGGAGCAGCUGAGCCCGUGCACCAUGGCUGCUGAGCCUGUGCUUUGGAGCCCGCACACCACAACUACUGAGGCCCGCGCCCCUAGAGCCUGUGCUCUGCAACGGGAGAAGCCACCACAAUGAGAGGCCCAUGCACUUCCACGAAGAGUAGCCCCCGCUCGCAGUAACUAGAGAAAGCCCGCACGCAGCAAUGAAGACCCAACACAGCCAAAAAAUAAAUUAAAAAAAAAAAAGUUCUUUUCUGAGGUUUUAGCUUGUUUUUCAUGUAGUCAACUCUGGAUUGCCUAGGCACCUUGGCUGGAUUUGCUUUGUGUCUGGGGAUGAGCUGGCUGAUGUAGGUUGACAUAAGUUGGGAUGACUGCAGCAACUAGAUUGUUCCACCUUUCUCAACCUUUAGCAGGCUACCUUGGAUCUGUUAUGGCAUGGCAGAAGUACAUAAAACAAGCAAAAAUAAUGAAGCACUUUUUCAAGCCUCUGGUUUUGUAAUGUCUGCUAGUACCUCAUUGGCUAAAACAAAUCACAUGACUGAGCCAAGCGUGAUGGUGGGAGGGUAUUAUAAAGUUACAUAGCAAAGGGCCUGGAUAUAUGAAGGAAUGAAGAACUGGGGCCGUUUGCAAUCUAUCUUUGGAAACAACAGUUUCAUUUUUUCAUGUAAUGUUCAUGAUAGUAGAUAUUUAUCAAGUACACAGUAUAUGCUUAACAUGUCUCAUUUAAUAAGUACAAUCAACAUGCAAAGAGUGUGAUAGCUUUUUACUUAACUAUGAAGAACAGGAUUAGAAUGAUUAAAUGAUAAAUGUGAUAGAACUGAUGGCUUGAAUCUGGGAGUGUCUGACUUCAGAGCUUAUAGGCUUUUACAUAAUUGUAAUCAUGUAAGUUAGAUUUUUAGUUUUCCUCCUAAGUUUUUUCUCCCUUAUUUUGGGGAAUAAGGAUGUGUGUGUUUUAUCAUGUAUUCUGUACUGCAUAUCUUGUUUUUUUCCUCCCAGAAUCUUUCCCCUUGUCUUUCAGUAGCAGUACCUUGGCUUUCCUUUAGGGAGCCACUUUUCCUAACAUUCAUGAGUUCAGUGUGGUUUGGAUGAGGCUGACUCACUUCUGUGACUUAUGCCUGGCCGUUGGUCACAGUGAGUGAGUGGUUCAGGGAUCAGCCUUGAGACUGGCUGGUGGCAUUCUUGGGAAAGAUCUUUUUUUUUCUGGGGUAGCUAAGCUACUAGCCUAUGAGCAGGAAGCAGCUACCAUGUGCGGAGAGCCUGCCUGUGAGUGAAGUGGUGUGCCUCUGUGUAAGACAACACAACAAUGGGGAGAGAAAUAUUGCUAUGCACUUGGAUCUAACUGUUCAUGAAAGGAGCUCUAAAAAGCCUUUUUGAGUCAAUACCUAUCUUUAUUGCUCAGGCCUAUUUAGUUUGGGUUUACUUGCAACCAGAAGUCCUUACUAACACUUUUUUUAAGUGCCAGAAAGACUAUAUCUCUUUAAGGGGAGUAGAAAAUCAAUAGCUUACUAUGGGUAAACAGUGUAAAAGCCAAAUUCUCUGGCCUUAUGGAGAUGGGGAGGGAUGAUUUGACUGGGAUGAUACUGUACCAGAAAGGAACAUAACAAGGUACAGCAUGGGGAUUUAGUAAGUUGAGAAAAUAGACUCACUACUAUAAGGCAUUCACUUCUUUCAUUCUUUCUUAGUGAAUUCUUCAGUAACCUUCUUGAGUUUCAAGUACAGUAUAAAUAUAUAGAGAGUGCCCAUUUGGGUGUUAGAGUUUAUUUUAUUUUUUCGCUUAUUUCUAUUUUACAACACAUUUUUCACUAAGAAACAGCAUUAUAAUUAUUGGUUCAUGAUACCAGGUCAGCCCACAAACAUGAUUUAAGUAAAUUGAAGGGUUUAAGUAAUGUAUUCUUGAAAUAAAAAGAACAGACAUCUAUUCCCAAUGCUGUGUCCUGGUUCUUUUUAUUAUCUGGAGAUGUUGAGAUCUUGAAUUCCAAUAUGCCAUUAUCCUUACAUGUUUACAUCUGUUGUCACAUGUAAUUUAAUCUUCAUAAUAACUUCACUAGCUGGGUAUUAUUUUAAUUUUAUACGUGGUAGAACAGCUGUGUGGAUUGGUGCUACUACAGAUUUACUGUGUCCAGCCUUAGCUGGACUCUCAGCACUGGGAAUUCUUUUUGCAUAUUCUUGGUCAGUUUCUAUAGCUUAACCACAGUGGCUCUCUUUUAGCUCCUGUGCACUCCUGCUUCUCACUCAGCUAAUGAUUUUGUCACCUACAGAGCAAUGAAAUUUGAGGGUAUGAAUGAAUAUUCCCCCAACAUUCCCCUCACCCCUAGGACUACUUGGGAAACUUGAGACCAACACCUACCUAAAGCAUUGUUUCAAAGCACUGACCACGUGAGAUAUCUGUGAAAUUUGAAAAUUUGGGGUCCUACCUCAGAUUUGCUGAAUCCAAAUCUUCUUAGAUGGGGCAUGGAAAUCUAUUUUUAACAGGUAUCUCAAGUGAGUCUUCUUGUACACACUAAAGUUUGAAAACCACAGGCAUUUAGAAUAAAGCUACUUUAAGGAGCAUAUAAGACCCUCAUUAAUUUUCCCAGCCUACUUACCCUCUCUUUGUAUAUGCUGCCCAGUCCCUACUCUCUAAUUUCUCAAGUCCUCUGACCACAAAAUACAGGUCACUCUUUUUCUAGUGUGCAAGCAUUAUUGUACUACUUUCUUUACCUUCUUACCUUCGUUUCUCCAAUUCUGCUUCUUCUAGCUUGCAAGACCCUUGAAGUCAGCAACCAUGUCAUGUUUUUCUUUGUAUUUUAAGUACUUGGCAAAGUGACUGGCACACAGUGGAUGCGCAGUAAAUGUUUGUGGAAAGGUAGAAAACAGGACUUUGAAAUAUCACAAACUACGCAAAUUGAGUAGUAGUGUUCUGUUUACAGUGACUGAAGUUAUUUAAGGAAAAACAAAAUUAGUAUGAGAAACAGGGAGUGCAGAUAUUCUGGACACAAUUUGUGGUACCUUCAGUGGCUUUAACACAGUGAUUUUUAAGGCGGUUAGGUGGGUGGAGUUGCCCCUUUGAGAACCACUGUAUUACUGGAUACUAGGGACCAGUUUCUUUGCAUGUGAAUUGUGUGACAACACAAGUAAAACCCAUCCUGUAACAGGAGAAACAUUAUUUCUUUAUUUUGUCUUGUUUCACUUCAAAAUGUAAUCUUUUCCUUUUUGUUCAGAAUAUGUGUAUUAUUUUGAGUUUUCUGAAGUAUCAGCAAAAGGGAUAGGAAAGGGCUGGGCAUUUUCCAUAGACAAAUAGGUAAGAGUUGGAGGUGGGCAGCAGGUAGAGAAAGAAGAAUGUUCUGAUUGUGUAAGAGUAAAAAAUAGUGACAUUCUCUCCAAAAGUUCAGGAACAUUUAUUAACAUACUGUGUGUGUGACACAGUUCGCUUGAGAUAGAAACAAAUGAACCAUGAGCAAUGCUAGCUAUAUUAAAGGACAAGACUAUCAUGAAUGUUCUCAAAGUGGUGAUAUGGCAAGAAAGAGGUAUUUCAAUAUGACUUUGUCACCACUCUAGCCACCAUGUAGUGAUGUUGAUGCUUCAGGGAUGGUGGAGCUGUGGAAUGUCAUUGGAGAAGAAAAGAUUGUAUGAAUGCUUUAUUUUUAAAUAUUCAUACUUAGGUUUUUAUAACUCUUGAGAGUGCCUUAAUAUUGUUUAUAUUUUGCUAUCAGGAGUUCACAGAUCCAUACUUUAACAAGCAUGAAUGAAUUUAUUUGUAACUUUUAGAUUCUAAAACCCUCAUGGAGGAUGGCGUGAUGGACAGAGAAUGGACAUGGAUACAAGCUAUUCUUUUUCUACUGGCUCUUCCGGUCUCUUUGACAAGUUUGAGAAAAUAACUGAAGAAAAGUGAGGCUCUGUUUUCAGUUGUAUGGCAGUAUUCUGCCAGUAUCUAUCAGGACUCUUCUAUUGCAAGUUCAGAAACCCAAUUCAAAUUAAUUUAAGUCAAGAAGGUCAUUUUGUAGAUUUAUGAACUGGGAGUUAGCAGAAUAAAGGUAAAGCUAGGUUCUUAUAUGACUGGAUCCAGAAAUUUUACUUAUGUCAUCAGGAAUAUCUGCUUAUCUCCAUCUCUAAGCAUUCAUUUCUUCUUUUGGUUUCCUUUUUGAGCAGGUAUGAUGGUAAAGAUGAUCAAUGGCAGCUCUAGACUUACAUAAUUUUUAAAGUCCACAUAUGUCUCUUUCUGUAUAGCACCAACCAAAUUGGGAGGAUGGAAGGGUUCAUGUCACUAAGGCCUGUGGGAGUGUGAUUCUCUGACCCAACCAGUGACAGGUGCCUGGCUUUGGAAAGAGGCUUAAGUUCAGCCCUCCCUUACGGCUUGAAGGAGGAGCAGAUUGACUGUUCAAAAGAAAAUUGGGGGGCUUCCCUGGUGGCGCAGUGGUUGAGAGUCCACCUGCUGAUGCAGGGGACACGGGUUCAUGCCCCAGUCCGGGAAGAUCCCACAUGCCACGGAGCGGCUGGGCCCGUGAGCCAUGGCCGCUGAGCCUGCACGUCUGGAGCCUGUGCUCUGCAACGGGAGAGGCUACGACAGUGAGAGGCCUGCGUACCGCAAAAAAAACCCCAAAAAACAAAUUUUAGUAUGUGCAAUGAGAAGUCUUGCUCCCACCCAUUCCACAUUUACUCUAGUUUUAUUUUCCUCCUAUAAGCAUUUUUAUUACGUGUUCUUUCAGUGUUUCUUUGUAAAAAUGAAAGCAGAUGUUAGUAUUUUUUGACUUUUCCCCCUUUCGUACAUAUAGUGAUACAUACAGAAUACCUUCUUCUGUACCUUGCUUUUUUCACUUAAUGUAUUUAAGCUAUCUUUCCAUUCGGUAUUUAAAGAGCAUUUUCAUUUUUCGCAGCUGCAUUGUAUUCCAUUGUGUGGAUGUGUACUGUGAUAUAUUAAACUAGGUGGUUUUGAACAUCUGAGUUUUCACUUUUCACUUAACACUGUGCUAUAGUGAAUGAUGUUGUAUGUGUUAUUUUGUAUGUACUGGUGUAUGUAGGAUACAUUCCCAGAAAUGGUAUUACUGAGUUAAGGGUAAAAUGUAUUUGUAAUUGUGAUAGGUAUUGUCAAAUUGCCCUCUACCUAGGUGGUAUAAUUUUGUAUUCCCUCCAUCAGUGUAAGAGAGUGCUGUUAGGAGAAUGUUUGUAUCCCCACAACCUUACCAGUAUGGUAUUGUGUCUGACUUGUGGAUUAUUGCAAAUCUGAUAGGUAAAAAAUAUGCGCAGUGUAGUUUUCAUUAGCAUUCUCUUUAUCAGUGAGGUUGAGCCUCUUAUUUUUAAAGACAUUUCCAUUUACAUUUGAUCUUGAAUUGACUUCCUGCAGUGAUUGUGAUACAUUGCCAAUGGUGAAAGUAAUAAUAAUAUUUUAAUGGGGAAGAAAGGGAGGAGAUGAUUGUUACUAGAAAAAAAUUUUUGGAUCCUCUCCCUUCAACUAAUGGAUUUUCACAUAAUUCAGAAUUGAUUCUGAAAGUUCAGAUGCUUUGUUACUGCUUUAGGAGACCUGCAGUGUGUGAUUGGUGCAGCACAGCCAUACAGGUUUUUCUGAGCGUGCCUUUUGUACCCUUUCAAGAAAGCAUAGAUUGGUGUUACGCCGUCUCUUUAAACUGCAUCAAAGGAUUGUAGAAAAUUGUUCAAAUUUUGCCCAAAGGUCUGGUCUUGUAUUCACCGUAGGUGUUUGCUGAAGUAGACUCUUUAUCUAGUUGGUGUAAGUUGAUUUCUGUAAAUGUUUUUGCUUACAUUUAGUGAGUUCUACAAAAUGCUAGAUGCCUUCUUUCAUGGUGCUGUUUGUCUCCAAAUUGCCUAUUUUAUCUGUUCUUUUUGGCACUUCAUUCUUUCUGUGUCAGUCAGCAUUUUGUUUACUGAAUGUUGGGAGAACAAUUUUGAGCUUUUUGGUAGUAAUGUCACUUUGCAUUCUGAACUGAAACCCUCUUCUCUAAGCAGUUAUGUUUUUGCAGCUAUUAAUGCCAUUAAAUAUUGUCUUGGCAUGAGUUUAUGAACAUUAUUGUUUAAUUUCUCAAAAUCUGACAUCUAAGGAAUUAUAGAAGCAUAUAAUAGAAUAUACAACAAAGAUUAAAAAUAUUAAGAAUAAAUGUGCGCAGUUAAGAAGGGAACAAUAGGCAGAAUAAGGGUAGAAACUGAUGACUCAGAGAACAGUCUUAUAUUCUGAGAACCAGGUUGGUAAGGAAGUAGAUACUCAGUGACUCAUAGAUACUGAUCCAAAAUGUUCUCUGUCCAAUAUAGGUAUAUUUACUUAAUGGAUUUCUCAAGCAAGGACAGCCUCUUUGCUUUAGGAACAGUCUUUGUUUAGAUAGUUUGGUUGAAUUGCAUUUUUAAUUUAUUCAUUGAGCGAAAUGUUCUGUGAACAUUUAUGCUAACUACUAAGCACUAUGCUAGAUGCAGGGAUACAGUGAUGUAUUUAGGAGACUGUACUUGCUUACAUGGCACUUAGAGUCUAACAGGAGAAAUAGGGCCAUUAAUUACAUGAGAAACCUAUAACUGACUGUGAAAUGAGACAGGAGCUCUGCAAGGAGACAGUGUUCUCUCUGUGUAUGUAAUUGUGUUUGUGGAGGGGGACAGAUUGGAGUAAUAGAAAUUCGGAAGAAUUUCUAAGAAAUUUUUAUUUGAGAAGUGAAAAAUGAAUAAGAGUUAACUAAUUAGGGGAAGGAAGAGGAGAAGAGUGGUAGGUAGAGAGAAUUCUUUCAGACAGGGUAUCAGAGCAUGUUUUCAGAAGACAGAAAAAGAAAAUAGACCAUGGUUUCCCUCUUAGGAUUCUGAUAUAUAUAAAUAUUUAUAUUUCAUUUUCACAACUUGGUGGCACUUAAGCAUGCUUUAGGCUCAAUUUUGGCUGUAGAAUAUUCUUUGACUAUUUUUUUUAAUUAGGGAAACUGAUACAUGUGAAAUUCUGGGGGGUGGGGAGCACUGGAUGAGUUUAUUAUUAAAAUGUUACAGGGAAGAAAGACAGAGUGUACUCAGGCACUGGAUAUUUCUGUAAAUGGACAGCUGUACAGUCACUUCCGUUGGGGAAGCAUGAAGGCAUUAUUUAGUAGGCACUCCUGCCUUACCCUCUUCUCUUUCCAAGUUCAAAUAGGAGUGAUUUUCUUUUACCACCUUUUUAAAUUGAGAUAUUAAAAUGCACAGAUCUUAAGUUUUGACAGUUGUGCAUACGCCUGUGACCUCCAUCCAAAACAAGAUAAAAAACCUCGUGGAAAGUUUACUCCUGUCCUUUUCCAGCCAGUUGCUCACCACCACAAUAACUGAUUUCUAUCACCAUAAAUUAGUUUUGCCUACAUCCUAGAUUUCACUAAAAGAAUCUUACAGUAUGCACUCUUUUUGUGUCUGGCUUCUUUCGCUUAAACAAAUAUUUGUGUGUGUUGUUACAUUAAUAGUUCAUUCCUUUUUUUAAGUGGAUUUAUUGAGACAUAAUUCAUAUAGCAAAUAAUUUACCCAUUUAAUGUAUAAAAGUAAAUGAUUUUUACUAUAUUCAUGGAGUUGUAUAAUCAUUACCACAAUGAGAUUUUAGAACAUGUUUGUCACCCCAAUGGGUAUCAUUAUAUUCGGUUUACAGAUGAGAACCCCUACCCAUUUAGCAGUCACUCCUUAUCCUGUCCCCUAUCUUUCUAACCCCCCAGCCAUAGACAAUUACUUAUUUACUUUGUCUCUAUAGAUUUGCCUAUUCUGGACAUGAUUAGUUCAUUCUUUUUUUUUUUUUGCGAUACGUGGGCCUCUCACUGUUGUGGCCUCUCCCGUUGCGGAGCACAGGCUCCGGACGCGCAGGCUCAACGGCUGUGGCUCACGGGCCCAGCCGCUCUGUGGCAUGUGGGGCUUGAACCUGUGUCCCCUGCAUUGGCAGGCGAACUCUCAACCACUGCGCCACCAGGGAAGCCCCAGUUCAUUCUUUUUUAUUUUAUUUUAUUUUUUUCAUCUUUUUUGGAGUAUAAUUGCUUUACAAUGGUGUGUUAGUUUCUGCUUUAUAACAAAGUGAAUCAGUUAUACAUAUGUUCCCAUAUCUCUUCCCUCUUGUGUCUCCCUCCCUCCCACCCUCCCUGUCCCACCCCUCUAGGUGGUCACAGAGCACCGAGCUGAUCUCCCUGUGCUAUGCGGCUGCUUCCCACUAGCUAUCUGUUUUACGUUUGGUAGUGUAUAUAUGUCCAUGCCACUCUCUCACUUUGUCACAGCUUACCCUUCCCCCUCCCCAUAUCCUCAAGUCCAUUCUCUAGUAGGUCUGUGUGUUUAUUCCCAUCUUACCCCUAGGUUCUUCAUGACUUUUGUUUUUUUCUUAAAUUCCAUAUAUAUGUGUUAGCAUACGGUAUUUGUCUUUCUCCUUCUGACUUACUUCACUCUGUAUGACAGAGUCUAGGUCCAUCCACCUCACUACAAAUAACUCAAUUUCGUUUCUUUUUAUGGCUGAGUAAUAUUCCAUUGUGUAUAUGUGCCACAUCUUCUUUAUCCAUUCGUCUGAUGAUGGACACUUAGGUUGCUUCCAUGUCCUGGCUGUUGCAGAGCUGCAGUGAACAUUUUGGUACAUGACUCUUUUGAAUUAUGGUUUUCUCAGUAUGGUUUGCCCAGUAGUGGGAUUGCUGAGUUCAUUCUUUUUUAUUGCUGAGUAGUAUUCCAUUGUAUGGAUAUAGCACAGUUUGUCUGUUUCAUUGCUGAUGGACAUUUGGGUUGUUUCCAGUUUGGGGUUUCUAUAAAGAUACUCCAUAAACAUUUUUGUUUAAGUCUUUUUGUUUCUCUUGGGUGAAUACUUAGGAAUGGAAUUGCUGGGUCAUAGGGUAGAAAUGUAUACUUAACUUCAUAAGAAACUGCCAAACAGCUCUCCAAAGAAGUUAAAUCUCCACAUUAUAUUCCCCCAACAAUGUAUGUAGAGACCAGUUAGUCCACGUCCUCACAAAUAUUUGGUGUUUGUCAGUCUUUCCUAUUUCGACCUUCCUAGUGGUUGUGAAAUGGUAUCUGAUUGUGAUAAUGUUUCAUUUUUGUUGAUUUGUAAAAAUACUUUAUAUAAUUAAUUUAAUUUAUAUAUAUAUAUAUAUAUAUAUAUAUAAACUGACAUUUGCUCUUAAAAAAUGUAAAGUUAGAAAUAGAUAUCUGUGGGGAGCUACUGUAACAUGGAGUUUCUGAGUCUCCAAAAUAUUUUUUUAGAGAAUCAGAAUAGAAAAAGUUCACUUUAUUUAGACCUUUUCUAAGGAGAUUGCCACAGUAGUUGGUUCAUUGUUGAACCAUGAAACAAUUCCCUGUAGGCAGGGAAGAAUAACUGCUUUUAGGAGGUAUAACUUACAAAACAGCAAUAACAGCAACCAAAUUCAGUAACUUUCAAAAGUCACAAUACCUGCCAUUUCAUAGAGUUCAAGAUAGAAUCAUGGUUCUCAAUUCAUCUCCUCCCUAGGAAGUUUUGUCACUUUUGGUAGAGUCCCAAAUGGACCCAAAUAGUCUGUGCCACAUAGAAUCAUUCUUUCUCACCAGUAAGACACCUGAAAUGAGAACUGCCCCUAAACUAGCUCUAUAGUUUGCUCUCCAGAAGUUGUCUCACAAUCUGUAGCUAACUCACAUUCUGUGUCCGAUAGUCCACAUAGCUAGAGUUAGGUGUGAACUCCAUUGUUAGGGCACAUGUGGCUUACAUCAUAACUUCAGUGUCAGUAACAAGUAUUGCUGAGCCUGCAGAAAUUUCAGAGAGCUUGGGACAGGGUACCAUCAGCAUCAGCAGCCAUAAUUUAGCUUUUACAUCAUGGAGUCUUUAGAAAACCAGCCUUUUGGUUGACUGGGAGACAUUCAUGAGCUUUCACCAGCCUUUCUUGCUUGUGGAAAAGACAACAUGGGGCAUUUGAUGACCCUGAAGGAAUUUUGUUGAAAAUGAUUUACUGGGUGUGAACCUUUACUAAAGUGGAAAGCUUUCCAGAUAGUCUAGGAAUAUUUAUUAUUAAGCGUAUAUAUCUCCCAUGUGAUAAAACUGUUAGACAUCUGGUCCCUUUUCGUAGAGAUCAGUAUGCUGACAUCUUAGAUCUUAAAAGAGGCUUGCAAAUUUUCCUCACUUUGUAAAAGUUUUUAUCACCACUAUAUACUCCAUCAUUGAAGAUUCUUUAUGACUUUUGCCUAUCUGUAUUCCAGCCAGUCUUUUAUUCACACUGCCAAUGUAAUUUUUCUAAAAUAUGCCAUUAUCCUGUCAGAAAUCCUUCAGACAUUCCCCAUCGUCUUCAGGAUAAAAUCCAGACUUUAACGUGGCUUUCCAGGAGCAUCUUAGCCUGCUGCUUACAGUUUUACCUAAUUUAUUUCCAUGUCCCAAUAAUCAGCAUGAUAAUAGCUAACAUUUAUAUAGUACUUACUUUAUAUACCAAGCACUGGCCCAGGCAGUCAUAAUAAACUGCCUGUAUUCCUCAGGUAGAUCAUGUACUCCCAUGUCAUACCUUUUGCUCACUCUGUACUCUGGAGUACUCUUUAUCAGGCUGUUCUGUAUAAUAAUACCUGCUUGUUCUUUCACACUCCAUUCAGACAUCACUUCUUGGAAGCUGAUCCCAAACUCAUUUUCUGCACCCCACCCCCAAUCCUCACCUCUUAAAAUUGUUCCGAGAUGUCAGGGCAAUGCACAUGUAAUAUCUAGCAUUAAGCAGAACAGAGAGUUUUUCCUCCCUGUGCUACAUCUUCUCUUUAGCGAGCAUGGUUCAGUAGGACUGCCUUGCCCAAGUUUAAGGGCAUAGAGAAUGGAGUUUAUGACUAUUCAUCAUCAACAUCACCUCCUCAAACCCUGUGUUUGAAAACACUUGGGUCCAGAGGCAAAAUUCUUAAGUCUCGUAAUAAGUAAGAUAGUCAUUGCCUUUGAAGAUCCCAAAGUCUAAUGGAAAUAGAUUUAUAAACAGCUAAUUAUAACUAGCUAAAUCAGAGAUUUAAAUAUUGAAAAAAGCCAUAAAAGAAUUAGAAGAAGCAUAGGCAGUUUUUUUCUAUCAUAGUGAAUUUGGGAAGGCCUUCAGAUCUAAACUGAGAAUUAUAAAGGAAAUGAUUGCUUUAUUUAAAAAUUAAGUGUAUUUUACAUGACAAAAAAUGCUAUAAAAUCAAAAAGGAAAUAGAGGAAUAAGAUUGCAGCUUUUAUUAAUAUAUAAUCUCUACCAUAUAUUAAAAUGAACUUGUAAAAUUCAGAAAGCAAGAAGGAUUACUAGCCCACUAGAAAAAUGGAUGAGAAAAUGAAUAGGGAUUUCACAAAGAAUUCAAAGAGAUCAAUAAACAUGAAAAUUGUUCAAGAUUAAUUAUAAUUGAGGAAUUGCAAAUUUAAACUGCAAGUUAAAAUCUUCUGCCUAUCAUGUUAAGGUAAGUUGUGUCAAAAGUUCAUGAAGCCAUCUCAAAGGUGCUCCCACUGGCCUAAGAUGAAAAACGUGAAUGUAAAAAAAGUAAGGACUGGGCUUCCCUGGUGGCGCAGUGGUUGAGAGUCCACCUGCAGAUGCAGGGGACACAGGUUCGUGCCCCGGUUCGGGAAGAUCCCACAUGCCGCGGAGCGGCUGGGCCCGUGAGCCAUGGCCGCUGGGCCUGCGCGUCUGGAGCCUGUGCUCCGCAACGGGAGAGGCCACAACGGUGAGAGGCCCGCGUACCGCCAAAAAAAAAAAUAAAAAAUAAAAAAAAAUAAGGACUGCAGUAGGUUGAACUAUACCAAAUGAGUAAAAUUCCAGGAGUCCAUAAUGAUAUUUUAAAAAUAAAAAGCAAAAAUAACUAUUGAUAACCUUUGGAGAUUUCAAGGGUGUUAACUCAUUCUUAUGAAAAUUUAUGCAUAGAAAGUAGGAUGUAUUUUGUUGCAGAAUGUAUUCAAACUAAACAAACAGUUGAUAGCAGAAAGCUCUUCUUUACUGAAGAAUUUCAGUUAAUAAAUGAGGAAGGAAUGAAGGUAUUAGAAAAGUCACCACUUUGUGCCCAUAGUACAAUAAUAGAUCUAGGCAGAUUAUUGAUGUAUACUAAAAUUAUUAGGUGAAAGGUGAUAGGUAACUAUAUAAUGGUGGGUUCAAGUUAAUACCCAGAAUUCACUGUUCAGUCUUAGCAUCACUGAAAGUAGAACAGGCAGAUAUAUGUCUCUUGAUUUGAUAAAAUAGGAAAGGCAUAGCACUACUUGCGAAGUAUUCUACCCUACAAAAAUUAACAUGAAUCUAAUCAUGAAAAGUAAAAGAGGGCAAUUAGAUCAUGUAAGGUGGAUUAGGCUGUUGUUGUGAGGACUUUGGUUUUUUUGGGUGCAGGUGUGGGAUAUGUCCCUAAUGGCCUCUUUCUCCCAUAAUUUACUUUAAUCCUUUGAAGUAAAGCUCAGCUGCAUUUCGGACAGUCAAACCUGAUUUUAUUUCCUUUAUUUUUUAGAGCAGUUUAAGGUUCACAGCAAAAUUGAGGGGAAGAUAGAACUUUUGGCUUUUACUAUGAGUAAAAUCAGGAGCAUGCUAGGUUUUUGAGCAGGAGACUGACAUGAUGAUCUGGCUUAAUUUUAACAAACUACCUGACUGCUGUGUCGAGAAUCGGCCGGGAGAAGGGGGAGCAGGAGUAUUAGUACAGAUACCACGUUGGAAGAUUUUGCGUUUGUCCAGGUGACAGUUGGGUUGCUUGCACUGGAUACUAGUAGAGCAGGGGUCCCCAAUCCCUGGGCCGUGGGCAGGUACCGGUCUGCAGCCUCUUAGGAACUGGGCCACACAGUGAGAGAUGAGUGAAGCUUCAUCUGCCACUCCCCAUCACUUGCAUUACUGCAUGAACCAUCCCACCCACCCGUCCCGUGGAAAAAUUGUCUUCCACAAAACCGGUCCCUGGUGCCAAAAAGGUUGGGGACUGCUGUAGUACAGUAAGGGAGAAGUGAUUAGGACUGUAAAUAUAUUAAAUUGGCAGAGAUUGGUUAGGAUUAGUAGGGGCAACAUAAUUUCUGAUUAGAUUAAUGUGGGGCAUGAGAGAGAGGAGAAAAGGAGGACUAUAAAGGUUUUGGUUCAAGCAAUUCAAAGUGCAGGGUUGCCUUUAACAAAGGUGGGAGAGACUGUGAGUGGAGCAGGUUUGGAAGAGAAGAUAAAGAAUUCAAUUUUGAGUCUCUUCCACAUAGUAGGUAUGUAUUAUGAAUAUAGUACUGCUGAAUAUUAAGAACCAAGGAUAUGAGACAGCUGCCAUGAGAAGGCCUUUCAUUGUCAGUUUCACAUUGUUCCUUAUCUGUGUGAGUUCUCACUUCAUGAGCCUGACAUUGUUUCUGUAUUUUUUUGUUUUGUUUUUCCAUUUAAGAUUUGUGCAUAUAAUACCUACUUUGUGCCAGGUACUAUUCUCUCUAAUUUCUCAAAUACUAAUUUUUUAAAUCCUCAUAAAAACCUUGUGAGGUAAGUGUAUUGCAUGUUUCAGAGCUGAGGCACUGAGAAAUUAAGGAACUUGCCAAAGGUCACACAGCUCGAAAAGGUAGAGUUAGGACUCAUACCCACACAGCUUGGUUCCAGAGUAAAAAUGAGUUAAAUAAAGUGAACCUAUUAGGCUGCAAGUGCUGAUACAAAAGCUGUAGAAAUUAUAUCUCAAGGUGCUCUUAACCUAGGCAGGUUUUUAUGUGAGGUCUUCUUGAAUGUAAUGGUUAUCUAAGUAGGAAAAGAUCUAUCAAUACUGAAUCUUUAUCCAUACCUCAACAUAAUAAAGGCCAUAUAUGAUAAACCCACAGCUAACAUUGUACUCACCAGUGAAAAGCUGGAAGCAUUUCUUUUAAGAUCAGGAACAAGACAAGGAUGUCCACUCUCACCACUUUUAUUCAACAUGUAUUGGAAGUCCUAGCCACAGCAAUCAGACAAGAAGAAGAAAGAAAAGAAUUCCAAAUUGGAAAGGAAGAAGUAAAACCACCACUGUUUGCAGAUGACAUACUAUACAUAGAAAAUUCUAAAGACACCACCAAAAAACCACUAGAGCUCAUCGAUGAAUUUGGUAAAGUCGCAGGAUACAAGAUUAAUACACAGAAACCUGUUGUAUUUCUAUACACUAACAGUGAACUAUCAAAAAGAGAAAUUAAGGAAACAAUCUCAUUUACCAUUGCAUCAAAAAAAAUAAAAUACCUAGGAAUAAAUCUCUACCUAAAGAGGUUAAAGACCUGUACUUGAAAAACUGUGACACUAAUGAAAGAAAUUGAAGAUGGCACAACAGGUGGAAAGAUACAUCAUGUUAAUGGAUUGGAAGAAUUAAUAUUGCUAAAAUGACCAUAUUACCCAAGGUAAUCUACAGAUUCAGUGCAAUCCCUAUCAAAAUACUAAGGGCAUUUUUCACAGAACUAGAACAGAUAAUUUUAAAAUUUGUAUGGAAACACAAAAGACCCCAAAUAGCCAAAACAAUCUUGAGAAAGAAGAACAGAAGUGGAGGAAUCAUGCUGCCUGACUUCAGAUUAUAAUACAAAGCUACAGUAAUCAAAACAGUAUGGUACUGGCACAAAAACAGACAUACAGAUCUAUGGAGCAGAAUAGAGAGCUUGGAAAUAGACCCACGCACUUAUGGUCAAUUUAUGACAAAGGAGGCAAGAAUAUACAGUGGAAAAAAGACAGUCUCUUCAGUAAGUGGUGCUGGGAAAACUGGACAGUUACAUGUAAAAGAGUGAAGUUAGAACAUUCUCUAUGCCAUGUGUAGACCCAAAAUGGAUUAAAGACCUAAAUGUAAGACUGGAAACCAUAGAACUCCUAGAAGAAAACAUAGGCAGAACAUUCAUUGACAUAAAUCAUAGUUUUUUUUUUUUUGGAUCUCUCUCCCCAUGCAAAGGAAACAAAAGCAAAAAUAAACAAAUGAGACCUAAUUAAACUUAAAAGCUUUUGCACAGCAAAGGAAACCAUGGACAAAACAAAAAGAUAACCUAUUGAAUGGGAGGAAAUAUUUGCAAAUGAUAUAACCCAUAAGGUGUUAAUAUCCAAAAUAUAUAAACAGCUCAUACAACUCAACAUCAAAAAAAAUCCAAUUUAAAAAUGGGCAGAAUACCUGAAUAGACAUUUUUCCAAAGAAGACAUACAGAUGGCCAAAAGACAAUGAAAAGAUGCUCAACAUCGUUAAUCAUUAGAAAAACAUAAAUCAAAGCCACAGUGAGAUAUCACCUCACACCUGUCAGAAUGGCUGUCAUCAGAAAGACCACAAAUAAUAAAUGUUGGUAAGGAUUUGAAAAAAAAGGAACCCUUGUACACUAUUGGUGGGAAUGUAAAUUUGUGUAGCCAGUAUGGAAAAUAUGGAGGUUUCUCAAAAAAAACUAAAAAUAGAACUACCAUGUGACCCAGCAAUUCCACUCCUGAGUAUUUUAUCUGGGAAAAAAAAAAAAAAGAAAAGUCUAAUUCAAAAAGAUACACUCACCCCAGUGUUCAUAGCAGCAUUAUUCACAGUUGCCAAGAUACGGAAGUAACCUAAGUUGUGUCCAUCAGCAAAUGAAUGGAUAAAAAAAAUGGGGGUGUGUGUGUACACACACUCAGUGGAAUACUAAUCAGCCAUAAGGAAUGAGAUUUUGCAAUUUACAACAACAUGGAUGGACUUGGAAGGUAUUAUGCUAAGUGAAAUAAGGCAGAGAAAGACAUACUGUAUGAUGUUACUUAUGUGUAGAAUCUAAUGAAUUUAACAGAAAAGAAACACAGAUAUAAAGAACUAACUAGUAGUUACCGUGGGGAGGGGCAAGAUAGGGGUAGGGGAUUAAGAGGAAUAAACUAUGUAUAAAAUAAAUAGGCUGCAAGGUUGUAUAGUACAACACUAGGAAUGUAGCCAAUAUUUUAUAAUAACUAUAAAUGGAAUAUAACCUUUAAAAAUUGUGAAUCACUAUGUUGUACACCUGAAACUUACAUAAUGUUAUACAUCAACUAUACCUCAGUUUAAAAAGAAAAACAGUGCAUCUUUAUCAUUCUGUUUACAUGUCUGGCAUGUUGCAAGUAUUGGUUUGGGAUUUGUGGACUGAUGUUAUUCUGGGUGCUUCAUAUUUUCUCCUAUUUAAUGUUGUGUCAGUUGCUUGACUGAUAAUGUUGAAAAUCCUUAAGGAGUUGGCUGGCCUCUUUGCAUUCAGUUAUUGAUUUUACUCCUUUUUGUUUUUUGGCUCCACCGCUUUCUUAGUUCCCCAACCAGGGAUUGAACCUGGGCCCCAGCAGUGAAAGCCCCAAGUCCUAACCACUGGACCUCCAGGGAAUUCCUUGGUUUUACUUCUUUUACUCCUUUCAUUGCCCCAAAAGGCAGUGUAGCUUUUUAGUUCAGAUUCCUCUUUAGUAAUCUUGAUGAACUUUCUGUCAGUUUGAAAUGAUACAGUUUUGCAAAGUGUUUUAUAUUAAUUUGUUUUUCCUUGAGGAUAUACUCAAUCUCUACAAGGUGAUGAUGAUGAUGGCUAGCCUUUUUAGGUUAAUAUUCUUGAGGACCACAUAAUAAGUGUAAAACAGUGUAUGAUUUAAUUCAGCUUUUCUUUCUUGGCAUUAGUGAGCCAUCAGUACAGUUUCUGGGGAAAAAAAUGCCAAUCCUUAUUUAUCCAGAUUGAAUAUAACACUUAGUAUUUGUUUCUUGUAUUGAAUGCAGGUGAACCACUGAGCACAGAUGAUUAUUUGAGUGGCUGUCAAUUCUCCCAAAGAUUUCAUAUAAUGGACACCAUUCUAGAUGCGUAGACAAGAAGUAAAUUCAUUAUAUAGAAGGAUGCUUUAGGGUAUUUGGGUUUAUUUCUCUCAGGGAACCUGAUUGAGAACGGCUGAUCUGGGCUGUGGUCUGUUUUUGUAAGGCUCAAGAGCUAAGGAUUUUAAGGGUUAUGUAAAAAAAAAAAAAAAAAAAAAGCAGGAACAGAGACUAUAUAUGGCCUGCAACACCUAAAAUAUUUACUAUAUAGCCUUUUACAGAAAAGGUUUGUCCAGCUCUCCUCUAAGAGGAGAAUACUUAAAUUUGAAUCCCAGCUUCUCCUUUUUGUAUCUGUUUGACCUUAGUAUCUGCCUCUAUAAAUGGGGGAUAGUAAUAAUAC